rnacentral:tRNA from 1 species
GGGGAUUUAGCUCAGCGGCAUAAGCACCUGCCUUGUAAGCAGGUGAGUUUGAUCUCCA